GUCAGAGGUCGGUGUUGUGCAGGAACCUGUCCUCGGUGCAAUCUCAGAGCUCUUUGUGGGUGUCUGAUUUCUGUAACGCGCUUCGGUUUCUAGUCUGAAUGUCACGCACGAAGAAUACCAUGACACUGCUCGAGGUGCACGCGAUCUUAUCUACCUGACAUUUUGGGCUUUUUUAAGCGUCCACUCACUCGAUUUGCAUAAAAAUCACAUGGGCUGCUUUCCCCCCCCCCCCUUUCCCCCCCCCAUUUUUUUUUUUUUUUUCAUGUAUCAUCAUAACAAACCACUUACGUUUACCCUCUGACAGCGCCAGCGCAGGCACCGCUCAGUGCUCCCUUUCCCCUCUGAUGGGGUCUGGGGUGGGGGGUCAGCGCUGCGCAGGGACAGUGCUCCCAUCCUGCUGUCACUCAGCACGGUGCUGAGUUUCGCUUCCAAGCAAACCACACCACCACGCACACGUCCCAACUGCUUCUCUUAAUUGCCACGGAUGAGACUUACUUUGAUUGAUAAGGAGACUCUCGCAGCACAGCCCCAGCUCCCUGCAGCCCCCCUGCCCGCACUCAGGACAACUCAGGGCCGCAAUUAACACAAACCCCGCUCGGCUCUCAGCCAUGUGUCGGCUGCAGCCCUCGCAUGGAACAAAAUGUUUCCCUCGGUGUCGGGAGAGGCAUCGGCUCCAGCGAGGGAGCGUGUGAAUGGCAGAGAGUGGGGUAGUGGGGUGUCGUGGGGUGCGUCGUGGCUUUUUUUUCCUGCUUUCUUCUUCUUCUUUUUUUUUUUUUUUGUUUUGAUUUGAUUUAAUUGGAGUGUUUGCGAUCUGGCUUGUUUCUACCUCAAGCAAAGGGCUGGAAAUGGAAAAGCCGGAAUGCGGCUGUUGCAGCGCACCCUGGGCACACCUGAGCCGUAUCUCCCCUUCCAACCCCAUGCUCCUGCCACCGCCCCCCUGGCCCCCAGCCCCAUUACACUGACCCCAUCACGCCCCAUGCAGAAUGCUCAGUGCCCGGUGCUGGGCCUGCAGCAGGGAAUGGGGCACCAUGGAGGGACAGUGGGAUGGAGGGAUAGGCAGCAAUGGGGAUAUCCCGCGGUGCCCCCUUGGCUACAUGUGAUGGCAUUGCUCUGCGUGAGAGCUGCUGUUGAUGUGCCGUGUGCAUUGUUUGGGGCAAUAAGCAUUACUUGGAUGAAUUUCCCACAAAAAGCCCUUUCUGAUCUUGGUGGACCCACUGCACUCAGAUAAAGACCCAGGAUAUAUCUCUGUGCAGCAUCCCAAAUUAUCGGUCUGUCUCUCAGUGCCCCGGGACAGCGCAAACUUGCUGUCAAAAAUGACUUACGGGACUUGCUGCCUGCCCCAUCUUGCUGGCACUGGGGACGAGGCCGAGCAAGCAUUGCUCCCACGGAGGUGUGCAGCACACUGCCCACGGCAGUGCCCUGCCGUGAUUUCAACAGGGUUGGAUGGAAGCAGCCCCGACCUCGCCAGGCACCCAGCCAGGGGAUCCCCAUCCAUUUUUAACCAGCUACAGACUGUAGUCUGACACCACCUCAAUAGGGCUGCACGAGGCCUGAGCCUUUGUGUGCCUGGUGGUGGCACCCCCCAUGUUCCCUUCCCACCCUGUGUCCCCAGCACACUCAUUCACCCACUUUUCCCCUCCUUUUGCCAUCAUGGAUCCUUUGGAAAUCUUCAGUGCUGGGACGCCGACUGGUCCCGGUGCUGCAGAUCCAUCAGCUACCAGCUGCUGAGGUUUGAACCCUUCACUAACCCCACCGAUACCUCCUCACUUGCUCAGGGUGAGCUCAAACCUAAUAUAAAAAAGGUUGAUUUGAGACAAAAAGAAAAAAAAAAAAAGAGAAUAAAGGCUGUCGAAGGUUAACAGCGUUGUUUAUUUCUUGUUUGAGAAUCUCUGGGAUCCCCGAUAUCAAAAAGCAGAAGGCUCAGGAAAAGGGCGCCCUGAAGUUUUGCAGGGAGCCCGAGUGCCUGUGGGAACCAAAAGGGGGAACUGCGGUGAUUCUCUGCACGCAGGCAGCCGGGUGCAGGCUGGGCACGGCGCCCUCGGCAUCUCCUCGCACCUCUCAGCCCAUCGGGCGCUGCGGGAAUUUCAGUUUCUCCCUUCAAAUAAAGCACGAGCAUCAUUUUGAUACCCUGCGUAUUUUCCUGCAGGGAAACACUUUGAUUUAGACUUGAAGGAUCUGGGGACCUGGGUGGGUGAGGCUCCAGAAGUCAUGGUGAAAGCGUCUGCUACUUGUUCUCCUGCCUCCCGAAUUUCUUUUAUUCCUCCUCACCAUCCCUAAAAGCCUGGCUGGCAAGAGCACGCCGGCUCUGAGAAGAGUUCACUUAAAUGCAUUGCCAACCAAAUAUUUUAUCUUCUUCUUUUUUUUUUUUUUUCAUACCAGUAGUGAGAGCGUUAAAUAAUAGAUCGCUGGAUUUAUAGGCUGCAUUUAGGUGUGACUAUGAAUAGCUACAAUAAAAAGAAGCAGAAUAUUCAUGUGAAAGGAGGGAGGGGGGCUGGUUUGAUAUUUUUUUUCUCUUCGUCCUUUUUUUUUUUCUAUUUGAGUUUCAGUUUUAGGGCUUAAGAAGAAUCAGAUUUUCUCCUUUCUUUUCUGUUGCUCUCGGGUGACGAGAGUAAUCCAGCUAUUUUCUGAGACCGAAAUUCCUAUGGGAUUUCUCCUUGUUUUCAAUAAUUAAAUAUUAAAGGAGUGAGAAGCAGGCAGAUUGCGUGACAUGGACACAAACGGAAUGGGGUAUUUAUUUGCAUAGGUACGUGGCACACGGGGCAGGAUCGAUCUCCGAGCCCUAUGAAAUUACCAUUACUCCAUUAGAGCGUUACAAACAGAUUAUUGCCCAUUGGAACGCGACUCUUCAAGUCCUAAAAAUAAUUUAACUCCAGGAUUAUUUUUAUUUAAUCUGGUCAAUGACAAAUGCACUGUAAUUCCUAUAAGGCAGAAAUAGGAGCUGGAAGGUGAACCCAACUGCUUUUUCUCCCCCUCUCUUUAUUUUACGGAUAUUUCCCCUUUUCUUCCCCCAUUCUCCUAUUCUUUCUUUCUGAAGUCUCACCGACGCCUCCGAAUUUUGCAACUCCUCUCUCCUUCUUUCCCCUCCAACCACUUCUCAUCGCAAAGUGCCGUACUUCUCCCUGAGAUUUGCCCUCCUCUCUCCCUUAGGACGAAUUCCCGUCUCAACAAGUCACCCAGGGAGGAUCCCCGGCUACAGCUGGGCUCAAUCCCAUGCUCACGGGGUGAUAACCGGCACCACGGCGGUGUUACAGGUGGGCAAGCGGCCAGGUUUCCCUUCUAGCCCACCCUGGCUGGGAUGGGGGGGGGACCUGCUGCCUCCCCACCUCGUGCCUCUGCGUCCCCGAGGGUCACCCAAAAGCCUAAAGGGUGAGCAGGCCCCACGGCAGCCCUACGGCUUCCUCAAAUCCUCCUCACUUUUUCAUAUAUAUAUUUUUAAAUCUUUUUAUUAUUAUUAUUAUUUUGUAAUAGUUCUGUUUUAUUAUGACAACAUGUUUAAUAAGCAGCCCCGGGCUGGAGGGAGGAAUGCGAGCUCCUUGCCGAGAUGUGAAAACGCUGCACUCGUGCUGCCUUGCCCCGUGCUUGCUGCAGCCCCGGUGUGCCCCAUGCAAAGCUCUCAGUGGUGCCAAGGGAGGGGGCCAUGCAUGCGCUGUGAGCCCCCAGCUCCCACCCGGCCCCACAGAGGAGCCCAAAGCAAGCUGGGUUUGUUUGUCCUGGCUUUGGGCAAAGCUGGCAAAGCAGGAGAGACCCCGGCCUGGAGCGACAUCAUGGCAUUUUUUUUUUUUGCAUUUUUCUGACUUCAGUUUUAAGCCUUUCUGGGAUUUCUGUUUCCCUCUGAUGUGUCCCCCUCACCAUGAGGAUGCUCGGCAGCAGGGUUAAUGCCCUCCUGCUAAUUCCUUACAUAACCCUGUGGGCUCAAAUCCUCAAAAGUAUUUGUGUGCCCUCCUCCCUUGGAAAUCAGGGAGUUUAAUUGUCUGCUAAAAUUAUGGCGUUUUUUGUUUUGAAAGCAGAGCAGGAAAUAACCAACUUGGGUUUUAUGAGCUUUGUUUGCCUCUCUGUGGUCACAGAGCACUUUUAUGUACCUUUUACAAAUAAAUUCAGGGGUAAAUAGCCCUGUGACCAGAAUACAGAUGGAUUUGUAGAGUAUGACCAGAGGGAAAUGGGUGCCGAAGGAGGUGAGGGGAGAUGGGCUUGGCCUCCUCUGGUCCCCAUUGGCAAAAUAUGGGUGAGACAAUGGCGCGGCACCAAAAGGAUGCUAAAAGGAAUAACCCAUUAAGGGCUGCGAGAUGCUGAGAUAGGAGAACUGUAGAGAUCGCAGCAGUGAGAUGCCAUCUAUUGCAGACAACCGUUGCACAGCUGACUGCAUCUCCCUCUCUGGAAAUGGCUCCGUUCUUAGUUUCAUUUUUGGCCAUGCGACCUGAUAGGAUUCCUCUCCCUCCUCAGCGUUUGUCCCCUUCAGAUAUUUCAUGCAGCACGGAGGAAGGAGGAAGCAGAAUGCCGUGACAUUGAGGUUUAUUGCUGAUUCUGCUCACGUCGGUUGAAAUCAGUCACUAAACCUCAGCCGGCAGAACCCCGUGCACUGUGUUUUUCUUGCCUAGGUAAUCGCGAUGGCAGCAGGGGGAGGCACUUUUCGUCUCCGAGUGUUUGUGAGUGAAGCCAAACCAUGCAGCUCCGCUCUCGGGGCUGCAAUUACCAGCAUUGUGCACGCGGAAAACGAAGCUGGAGGAGGACGAGCCACUGGCAGGCACUUGGAGGACUCAUCCGAUGAGACAAGUGCACGUUCCUGUGAGGUGCUGCACCGGUGGGGUGCUCCUCUCCAAGGGCAUGAAGUAUGGAUGAAGCUGCCCAUGCUACAGCUCCUUGCCCUGGGUCUGCCCUUGGUGUGAGAACCAAUGGGGCGAGAUGGUUUCAUGCCGUUCACCUUCCGAGCUCUCCUGGUGCCUGGGCACUAAGAGCCUAUGGAAUGAGGAUGGUUCCUCAGUGGUGAAGAACAGGGGGACCAGGUGGACCAAUGACCAGGUCAACAAAGCUCUGGGCCACCAUAUCCUUUUGGCAGCUGCCACCCUGCCAGCAUGGCUUCUGGUUUCUGACUGCCCAUUGCAGGACCUUUUUGCAUACAUGGUUUUUAUGCUUCUUCCAACUUCCACCCUACAUGUGUGCAUCAAGCCCCCACCACCUGCUUAGGCCAACUUUCUGCCAGAACAUAGAAUCAUAGAUUCAUUAAGGUUGGAAAGAUCAAUAAGAUGAUCUAGUCCAACCAUCAACUCAUGAGGAUGAUCGCUGUAGACCAUGUCACUCAGUGCCACAUCUCCUUGGUUCUUAAACACCCCCAGGGAUGGUGACUCCACCACCUCCCUGAGCAGUCUGUGCCAGUGCCUAACCACUCUUUCUGAGAAGAAAUUUUUCCUACAGCAUUGAAUACAGUGAUUCAUAAGGGCUCUCCCAGUCUGCUUCUCCCUUUAGGAGGCUCAUGUCAUAUUAUCCAGCAUCUAAAACUAAGUGGAGUAAAAGCCCGAGAUCUAAUUUUGAAAAUAAUAAUAAAAGAAGAUUUAAUAAUGUGUUGACUCAGUUCUGUGCCACUCCGGUGAAUCAUGACCAUUUGUCACCAGCGAGUUUCAUGGUUUAGGCCCCCAGUGCCAGCACAGAAAUCCCGAGCCCAGUGGAUCGUCAGAGCUUUGACCCGGUGCAAGGAUUCAGUCACCUCUGUGCAUCUCAGAUCCCAGCUGACCCGAUGCUUCACUCUUUUAUUAUCUGUGCACGAUCUCUCCCACUGUGCCAAGAGUUCUGUGUUCUUCAUUUCUCUUCCGUCUCUGAUGCCACAAAGUCAAGUGAAUGUCUUCAAGGAAAUCUCAGUAAUAAAACCUAUUUCCUCCUCCCUGCU